rnacentral:rRNA from 1 species
AACGAACGCUGGCGGCGUGCCUAACACAUGCAAGUCGAACGUGAUUGGAAGCUUGCUUCCAUGAAAGUGGCGCACGGGUGAGUAACGCGUAGAUAAUCUGCCUGAUGAUUUGGGAUAACACUUCGAAAGGGGUGCUAAUACCGGAUAAGCCCACGGUGUCUUUGGACACUGCGGGAAAAGGAGGGGACUUUCGGGCCUUCCGUCAUCAGAUGAGUCUGCGUACCAUUAGCUAGUUGGUAGGGUAAAGGCCUACCAAGGCGACGAUGGUUAGCUGGUCUGAGAGGAUGAUCAGCCACACUGGAACUGAGACACGGUCCAGACUCCUACGGGAGGCAGCAGUGGGGAAUUUUGCGCAAUGGGGGAAACCCUGACGCAGCAACGCCGCGUGAGUGAUGAAGGCCCUUGGGUCGUAAAGCUCUGACAGAGGGAAAGAAAUGUGGGUGGCUAAUAUCCAUACCACUUGACGGUACCCUCAAAGGAAGCACCGGCUAACUCCGUGCCAGCCGCCGCCGUAACAC